ensembl:lncRNA
CUGAGCUCAAACGAUCCGCCAGCCUAAGCCUCCCAGCAACUUGGAUUACAGGCGCACGCCACUGCGCCCGGCGAGAAACGAGAGGAUUUUAAAGGCAUUUGAAGUUAAAUUCGUGACGUCACACGGCUUCUACAGUGGCCUCUUGUGGAAUCGCAGCGGUGUUGACAUUCCGCGCGCCUCUGGCUCUGGCACCGGUUUAAACAUGUCCUAUGGGAGGAGGUGAGGGCCCUGGCGGAGUGGUGCCAUGAAAAUAACCUCUCCCUCAACAUCAACAAAACAAAGAAGCUAAUCGUGGACUACAGGAGACAGCAAAGGGAGCACGCCCGCCUCCAGCCACAUCGACAGGGCCGCAGUGGAGAAGGAUCUGAGCCCUAGGACCAUGCCUCAGGACUACCUGGCAUGAUGACUCCUUGCUGUUCCCAGUCCACCUGGCCGUGCUGCUGCUCCAGUUUCAACUGUCCUGCCUGCGGCUAUGGAACCCUGACCUGUUCACUGUGAUUAUUAUUAUUUGACCAUGCUGGUCAUUUAUGAACAUUUGAACAUCUUGGCCAUGUUCUGUUAUAAUCUCCACCCGGCCCAGCCAGAAGAGGACUGGCCACCCCUCAUAGCCUGGUUCCUCUCUAGGUUUCUUCCUAGGUUUUGGCCUUUCUAGGUAGUUUUUCCUAGCCACCGUGCUUCUACACCUGCAUUGCUUGCUGUUUGGGGUUUUAGACUGGGUUUUUGUACAGCACUUUUUGUACAGCUGAUGUAAGAAGGGCUUUAUAAAUACAUUUGCUUUAAAUGGUGGACUAUUCUUACUAGGGAGAGCCAAUAUGGCCAAAACAUAGUAUUAUCAAUCCAGUAUUUAUAUACAUCAUUGGGUACAUGUAUAUUUACAGACCACCAAAAUCAAUAUUUAUGAGUAAUUCUCCCCCCACCCACAACUUCUCACCUGAAUGCAUUUUUUAAAAACUUUGAAGUGGUUGGGAAAAGGCUGAAAUGUGGGUUGAGAGUUUCACCUUAAAGGUGAAUGCACUAAAAGUAAUUCUGGAUAAGAGCAUCUUUUAAAUGACUAUAAAAUGCCAUGUAAAUGUGAUUUAUUGUAUGCCUAUGAAAAAUGCAUCAUGCACUUUGUCUCACUAAACUAUGGAGCUAUUCCCCUCAGAGCCUGGUUCCUCUCUACCCAGUACAGCUAGUAGAGGACUGGUCACCCCUCAGAGCCUGGUUCCUCUCUAGGUUUCGUCCUAGGUUCCUGCCUUCCAGGGAGUUUUUUUUCUGUGCUUCAGUCUCUGUACGGUUCGCUCUGUUCUUCAGUCUCUGUACGGUUCGCUCUGUGCUUCAGUCUCUGUACGGUUCGCUCUGUGCUUCAGUCUCUGUACAGUUCGCUCUGUGCUUCAGUCUCUGUACGGUUCGCUCUGUGCUUCAGUCUCUGUACGGUUCGCUCUGUGCUUCAGUCUCUGUACGGUUCGCUCUGUGCUUCAGUCUCUGUACGGUUCGCUCUGUGCUUCAGUCUCUGUACGGUUUGCUCUGUUAAGCACCUUUUCUGUGACAACUGCUG